UCGAACAACAUUUUUUUAUGGUUCAAUAUUUUUUUUUCUCUUUUAUCUUCUUAGUCAUUCACUAGUGUGAGAUCAAAAUGUUACAGAUAAGUGUAAAACAAAGAGGGGAAAUUGAUGUGAGGUUCGUGGUUAUCGUCUUGUUUUUUAUAUCCCCCGGAAUUGUAAAUUUCUUCUUCCGAUUCCAGCAUCAACAACAAUAGAUUUGGGGAUUUUUAAAAAGGAUUCAAAUAUGGUUUAUAUAAGUUUCUCCAUUGUUAUAGAUUGCAGCACUAAAGUAUCUGGAUUUGCUUAAGGGUGAUCUAUUUAGUUCUGGGUCGAUUGAAACAAGAGCUAUCACUAAUUUCAUUGAUUUUGAUGGUUGGGUCAUAUUCAAUUUGAAUUCGCAGCAGCACAAGAUGGAAGUUGGGUGGUUCUUGGUGUGGAUUCGUUCUUAAAUUGGAUGGAGAUGGCAAAGAGUGGAGUUUCAACUUGCAGAAUGAUGCCUAAUCAGUUUUGGUUUUUAUAGAAAUUUGGGGAUUUUAUUGUAUCGGCGCCGGAGAAGAAAGAGAGCACGUGGUGCAAUCUUGGACACCCUCCAGAAGGUGGACGAUCUUAUCCGUGCAUUAUAUGAACGGGUACACAACCGUAUGAUUUAGCUAGCUUAACUAGGUAGUGUCGCGGGCAUCUAACUCGGUUUAACCAGGUCCUAGUUGCAUGAUUCAUGGGCUUUCAAUACGGUUUAACCAGGUCCCAGUUGCACGAUUCAGGGCUUGAACGUCUUUUCCCAAGCCUGAAUUAUUGCCACGUACAGAGUAACGUCUGUUAACUGUUUUUUCAAAAAAAACGGGAUGGGCAUGAAAUAAAUAAUGAAACAAACGUGGGCAUUUUCUUUUAUGCAUUUCCCCACAUAGUCAUUUUAUUAAAAACUCCUAAAAAUAUUAUACCAAUGGAGAUGGACGGACGGCUGGUAUUUGUGUAUCCAGAUGGACGGUUGCUAUUUAUUAGAAUAAUCUUGAACAUAACAAGGAAAGAAUCCCUUUUAUUCUUUCCUUAAAAUUAAGGGCGAUUUUAUUUAUCGGUUAGGGCAUCGCAAAAGUCCGAGAAAACUGAUUUCAGAGCUUUGGUGAUUGUCUCAUACUACUAACAGGGAAUUCAACCAAAAUGGGUGAUUCAUCAAUGAAGAACGGAUUUGAUUUGGUUCAGUUAACAUCUUCACUGAAGAAAGUUGGUGAUUUUGCUCGUGGGAAAUUGUCAUCUGAAGUUGAAACCCUCAAAAAGGAGGAGAAAAAAGAUCCUUAUGAAGAUUUAAUUGCAUCUCAAAAAGAAACUCUUAAAACUCUUCAGCAAGGGGAAACUGCUAUUCAGAUCAUCUUAGGUGUGACUGCUGCUUCAAUGGCUUCGGUGGUUGUUUUAAAGGCUCUUGGAUUCUGAGCGUAAAUGAAGAUAGAAUUGUGAUUAUCAAGGUUAAGGUGAUAUAAUUAAAUUUAUCAGUUUAGGUAUUUAUAAAAAUUAUUAGAUAUGUAACCAGCUGUAGUAGUAGUUGUCUAUUAGUUUUAGGAGGGAUUAGACCAACAAAAAAGGUUACAACUUAUGUUUUUAUGUAAUGCUGGUAUAUCAAGUUAAUGGAAUUGGAUUUUUAUGAAAUUGGAUUGAUCUUAGGAGUCAUGACUACAAAUUUCCCACUUCUACUAAGAUUUUUCUGCUUGAUUGUGUUGUAUGAUUGGAUUUUAUUCAAAGGGAAAACCACAGAUAUUGGAUUCUUAUAACCCUGUAAUCGAUGAAUUUAAACUCCCUUUGGUAGUACUCAUGUUAUAAAGCACCUCAUUUCGAGCAUCAAACUUAUAAUGGAUGGUCAGAAACUUUUUGACACAAAUCUAUAAGUCUUAGCAUGUAUCAAUCUUUUGGAAUCUAUCACAAAACCUGAUCAUAGUAGGCUUUGGCCAAAUGAUGAAAGCAUACGGGGUCGUUUUAUUUCGUUUUUGUAAAUGAAGUUAGGCUUCAAAGAAGUAACUUUGGUCUUUAGAACCCAACAAGGGAUAUCAUAGUUCAAAAACAGGUUCUUUGCAUUUUGUGGAUCACUUCAACAGCUAUCUUUUUCAUUGAAAUUCUUUGAUGAAUGGCUUUCUUCUUAUGACUCUAAUUUUUUUUUUUUUUUUUUGUGAAGUUGCUUUUUUCUGUGCUGCCCCAAUUUUAUAUUCGAAAUGGCCCCUCUAAUCUUAUCAUUCUAGAUGUUUGUGUGUUUUGUGUUUCCUGAUAUAUUAGCUCAUUGUAAAACCUAAUUAUAGUAGCAGGUAAUGACAAGAAUCGAAAAUUGUUUAAAGUUGCCUGAUGAACAAUUAUAGCAUCUUUGCAAUCUAAAGCUGAAGCAAUGGAGAUGCCUUUGGUGGCCUACUCGAAAUCUUUGUUAUGCAGUAUUGCUAGUGUUGGAUGCAAGAUUUUGUCUGCAUCUUCUGUUCCACAAGUGCAACUUCCAUAUCAUGUUGUUGUUCUCGUAAUGCUUGCUACCCUGCAGUUGCUUCAACAGGUUUCAUAGGUUUAUCAGAAGAUGAAGAUCGAGGUCUUGUCCAAGGAACCUUCAAUCUGACAGGCUUCAGGGCCAUCUGACCCUUCUUGAUGAGUCUUCGAAUAAAACAAGAGGGUAGAUUUAUCCUCUAGUUUAGAAGGCGUCAAAACUUGGUGAGGCUCUGCCUGCUUUAGCAGAGGUGGUGGUCAAAAAGGAGCACUAAAAGCUUCUUGCCAGAAAGUCAACAACUGAAAAAGUGAAGAACAACAGAAAGUCAUUUGUUGGAAAUGGUGCGGUUCUCUUUUGUUUUUGCAACAUUACAUACUCUAGUGGAUGCAACCAGAUUACAGCUCAAAUUUAUACAAAUUGUGUUCUUUGAAGGAACUUGACGAAGAGUACGAAGGACAAAAGAUACAGAAAGUUACCGCUUAGGCAGAAAAGAUCAGGCUUGCCAGAGAAUCUUAUGAAAGGGAGCAACAAAGAAUUAAUAGAGAGCUAGAAGAGAAGGAUAGAUGUAUGACACAAGGUCUUUACUUGUAAACAUAGAGAAAAACAGUAACUGAAAGAGAAGAUCGGACUGAGAAGAAGCUUCAGAAACUUGCUAAAACCGUGGAUUAACUGAAACGUGCAAGAAGAGAAGAGGAAGCUCCUAUUGCUGUUAAUUUCAUCAUAAUGCGCAUCAUUACAACCAUCUCUAUAUAUAUUCUAUAUGAAAGCGGUCCAAAGUAUAUCAGUUGCGCUUGCCUGCGGCGUAUUUGGUUUUUUCGACCCAUUGCCUCAUUUGCUCAUCUAAAACUACCCGGAUCCUGAAUUUGUUUCUUUGAGUGGGUCAUGAUGUUUCAUGUUCUUCUGCAGCUAGAGCUUGAGCUGAGAGGGAACAACAUGUUGGAGACCUUCAGUAGAAGAAUAUUUUUCGAAGGAUGUCGGAGAAUAAGGAAGAACAUUCUCCAGGUUAGAAAGAGGGAUGAUCGUAUUGCCCAAAAGCUUCAGGAGCACAGGAAACAAGAAAGAGGCGGAGAUUUUAUUUGAGGUCCGAGGAGGAGAGAGAAGAUUGGAGUUCGGGAGAAGGAAGACGCUGAAAGGGAAAGAAGAAUUAGUGAGAAAAACCAAGUUGCACGAGCUCGCUGAGGAGGAUGCCGAGUUUAAUAGAGCACCACCUGUUCCUGCUGCUUCUGUACCAGGUGCUUGUACUUCCACAGGUGCACCUUGGACUACUGGUCCAGCACGGGAUAAAUAUGUAUGUAGGUUCAAGAGGGCACAAUAUUGUGCUACCGUGGCAACACUUUCAGAAUCUGAUCUGAUUGAUGGGGUUCGAGACAAGAAUAUCUGCAUCAACCUGCGAAUCCGUGAUAGAUAAGUUGCACUCUGAUAUAUGUCACCAGGUUCUGGGGACUAGCCUUAAAUGAGUACCCCUUAUCUAGACACAUUUGAAUUGAAUCUCGCUUGACCCUCGUUUACAUUUCAUUUUGAGAGAAAAGAAAAAAGGCAUAGAGAACUUUGUUUCAGUUUUCUUUUUCCUUUUUUUUUUUCUCUCGGAAACAGAAAGGAAAUUAUAUUAGUAGAAAUUAGUUCCAGAGUUUCUUUCCUCCAGCAGUUGUAUUAUUAUACAUUAGGGAGAUUUUGAUCCCAAACUCUACUUUUUUUUCCAACUC